CCUACGGGAGUCAGCAGUGGGGAAUAUUGCGCCAUGGGCGAAAGCCUGACGCAGCGACGCCGCGUGAGGGAUGAAGGUCUUCGGAUCGUAAACCUCUGUCAGCAGGGAAGAACGGUCACUGUGCUAAUCAGCAGUGACUUGACGGUACCUGCAAAGGAAGCACCGGCUAACUCCGUGCCGGCAGCCGCGGUAAUACGUAGGGUGCGAGCGUUAAUCGGAAUUACUGGGCGUAAAGCGCUCGUAGGCGGUAUGUCAAGUACAGGGUGAAAUCCCCGCGCUCAACGUGGGAACUGCCUUUGAAACUGGCAAACUGGAGUGUGUGAGAGGAUAGUGGAAUUCCAGGUGUAGGAGUGAAAUCCGUAGAUAUCUGGAGGAACAUCAGUGGCGAAGGCGACUAUCUGGCACAUAACUGACGCUGAGGAGCGAAAGCGUGGGUAGCAAACAGGAUUAGAUACCCCAGUAGUC
rnacentral:rRNA from 1 species